rnacentral:rRNA from 1 species
GACGAACGCUGGCGGCGUGCUUAACACAUGCAAGUCGAACGGUGAAGCGCCUUCCUUUUUGGUGGGUGUGGAUGAGUGGCGAACGGGUGAGUAACACGUGAGUAACCUGCCCCCUUCUUCUGGAUAACCGCAUGAAAGUGUGGCUAAUACGGGAUAUUCUGGGUCUGUCGCAUGAUGGGUCUGGGAAAGAUAUUGUUUCGGUGGGGGAUGGGCUCGCGGCCUAUCAGCUUGUUGGUGGGGUGAUGGCCUACCAAGGCGGUGACGGGUAGCCGGCCUGAGAGGGUGGCCGGUCACACUGGGACUGAGACACGGCCCGGACUCCUACGGGGGGAAGAAGUGGGGAAUAUUGAACAAUGGGCGCAAGCCUGAUGCAGCGACGCCGCGGGAGGGAUGGAGGCCUGCGGGUUGUGAACCUCUUUCGCCAGUGAAGCAGGCCUGCCUCGUUUGUGGGUGGGUUGACGGUAGCUGGAUAAGAAGCGCCGGCUAACUACGUG